UCAGGAAGUAGUUUAGUUGAAAAAUGCCAGCUUUGGGAGUUGGAGAGGAGGGUUUGAGUCCCUUCUUCCUGAA
rnacentral:tRNA from 1 species